rnacentral:rRNA from 1 species
GGGCGGCGAGCGGCGGACGGGUGAGUAAUGCCUGGGAAUAUGCCCUGAUGUGGGGGAUAACCAUUGGAAACGAUGGCUAAUACCGCAUAAUGUCUUCGGAGCAAAGAGGGGGACCUUCGGGCCUCUCGCGUCAGGAUUAGCCCAGGUGGGAUUAGCUAGUUGGUGGGGUAACGGCUCACCAAGGCGACGAUCCCUAGCUGGUCUGAGAGGAUGAUCAGCCACACUGGAACUGAGACACGGUCCAGACUCCUACGGGAGGCAGCAGUGGGGAAUAUUGCACAAUGGGGGAAACCCUGAUGCAGCCAUGCCGCGUGUGUGAAGAAGGCCUUCGGGUUGUAAAGCACUUUCAGUCGUGAGGAAGGGUGUGUAGUUAAUAGCUGGACAUUUUGACGUUAGCGACAGAAGAAGCACCGGCUAACUCCGUGCCAGCAGCCGCGGGAAUACGGAGGGUGCGAGCGUUAAUCGGAAUUACUGGGCGUAAAGCGCAUGCAGGCGGUCUGUUGAGCAAGAUGUGAAAGCCCGGGGCUCAACCUCGGAACAGCAUUUUGAACUGGCAGACUAGAGUCUUGUAGAGGGGGGUAGAAUUUCAGGUGUAGCGGUGAAAUGCGUAGAGAUCUGAAGGAAUACCGGUGGCGAAGGCGGCCCCCUGGACAAAGACUGACGCUCAGAUGCGAAAGCGUGGGGAGCAAACAGGAUUAGAUACCCUGGUAGUCCACGCCGUAAACGAUGUCUACUUGGAGGUUGUGGCCUUGAGCCGUGGCUUUCGGAGCUAACGCGUUAAGUAGACCGCCUGGGGAGUACGGUCGCAAGAUUAAAACUCAAAUGAAAUUGACGGGGGCCCGCACAAGCGGGGGCAGCAUGUGGUUUAAAUUCGAUGCAACGCGAAAGAAACCUUACCCUACUCUUUGA